UUUUUAUGUAUAUCUCGAGAACCGGACCACCUAGAAACUUAAUUUUUUUUUUAAAUUAAAGCUGAGAAUCCGGGCCACCUAAAGGGCUAGCCGGGCGCCGGGUGGCAUGCAUAGAAUCCAGGUACAAGUUGAGCUGGAGGGAAGGAGGCCAGUGCACGGUGCUAAUCUUGAAUUCAGCAACAACUCACCCAAAGGCAAACAGCAUUUCAUUGGAGCCCCAUGUGAUGUUCCUGCUUAUAGUGUAAAUAUGUUUUGCCUAUGGGAGCUGAUGGCUUGGAGGCAAGCAGGUAGUGGCAAGAAGGGUAACUAGGCUGGUAAGGAGGUGCACCAUCAAGUCUGUUAGCAGGUACAGAGAGAAGAGCACCCCAAAACAACUCAGUCUGCAGCUGAGCAAGGACCAGGCUGACCUUUCUUGUCCUCACUGCCUUUUGUUGAGCUGGUACAAACAAAUACCACCCAAUAAAAUGGUGCAGAGAUUAAAGUACCUGGGUCCCACUGCCAGAGAUCCCAAUUCAAGAGGUCCAGUGCUUCAAGUUUCUAGCAACCUGCAAUUGUGUCCAGUUACUAUAGUCCGCACUGGCAAAACUAACUGCAAUGAAAUCAUUUUUCAUGGAACAGAAUUAGAUUGUGUCCUGCUCAGGGAGGAAGCCAUGAGACAGAGUCAAAGGUAGGAGUAAUUCCUGUUUUAUUAAAGGAAUUGAUACAUCAAAGGCACAACGCUUCAUAUAGGUCUCUAUGCUAACUCACUGAGGUCCCUAACUAAACUCUACACAUGCUCUGCGGCAUAUGGAACAAGUUUACUCAGCACCCAAACCCAGGAGCUGCAGUCUUAAGUAGGAAACAUUUUACAGCGUAAUCUCUUCGCAAAACCUCCCUCUGCCCCAUCCUUUUCUCACAGCGUCUGGAGUGAGGUGAAGGGGGACGAGCUUCCGUCAAGUCAUCUGAAAGAACUGGCUCCUUAACAGCAACCUUGAGGUCAGGGGGCGGGAAAGCAUUUGAAUCAUCCUGGAAGCCACUUGGCAAAGGGGGAGUGCACGCACGCUCCGAAACAUCGCCCAACUGCUGUCCUGGCAUGACCGGGGCCUGCGCGCUGUCCUCUUCGGAGGCUGCGCCUUCCGUGGAAAUUGGCAUGACGUGAAACCCACUCCCUUCCCCAAGGUCUUAAGAAGACAACAACUACUGGUUCCUCCACGCCUUCUGACAGCUAGGGAACCUGAAACUCAUGCCUUUUCCCUCCCUGGACCUCACGAGAGAGCUGGGGCUCAACAGAUUGCCUUCUUCAGAAACAGGGAAACCAUGAUGUCAUAGAGAACUAGGAGUUUAAUGUGAAAUUAAAAGAGUUACAUGUGAUCCUUCAUUCACGUGUUUUCAGCCGGCCAACCUGCCUCCAUUUCUAACAGGGUUACAUCAGGUUACCAUAUGUUUUACUCCAGAUACGGACUUCUCAUGGCAUACAUCCUAUUUUAGGACAGCAGGAAGGAAGGUGGGGAGGUUCUCAAAUUAGAGUUCCCAGGAGCCAGAAUCCGACAUCUUGCCUCAUGUACCAUGAGCACCCUGUUUCUACUGUAAACCUGACAGACUGAGCUCUUUGCUUCAAGAGCACCAUCUAGGCUGAGAUACUAAUUUUCCUCACCAUCCAGCCAGCUAACUCCAAGGGCUAAUUCUGGUGCCACCAGGCCAUACAAAACCCUAGCCCCAAAACUUAAUUUGAAUGUUUAAAAUAUGUCUGGUUUGAGACAGUGUAUAUGCCUGCUCAUUGCUGCCUUAGAUUUUGACUCCUGACUGGUUAUGACUAUGUACAUACUUCUGGCUACUCUAAUCUUUGCUUGCUGCUCUGGAACUCAAUGCCUGCCUGCUGUGGACCAUACUUGGGCUGACACCCUUCUGCCUCACUUGGACUGAUGGCUUCCUCCCAGAACUGAACUGCCUGGAACCUGACCUUUGUUGAGGCUUGAUAUGUAAGGACAUAAAAAGAGCCCUGUUGCGUCAGGCCAGUGAGUGGCCCAUCCAGUCUACAUCCUGUUCUCCCCGUGGCCAACCAGGUGCCUUUGGAAAGUCUGCAAGCAGGAUGUGAAGUGCAACAGCAUUCUCUCAACUUGUGAUUCCCAGCAACUGGUAUUCAUAGGCAAAGUGCCUUCGACAGUGGAAACAGAACACAGCCAUCAUGGUUAGUAGCCACUGAUAGCCUUUUCUUCUGUAAAUUUGUCUAAUCUCCUUUUAAAGCUAUCCAAGCUUGCAGCCAUCACUGCCCCUUAUGGGAGUAGAUUCCAUCGUUGCUGUGUGAAGAAGUAUUUUCUUUUGUCUGACGUCAGCUAACAUUCAGCUUCAUUGGAUGUUCAUGAGUUCUAGUUUUAUGAGAGGCAGAAAAACUUCUCUCUAUCUACUUUCUGCACACCAUGCCUAAUCUACACCUCUGUCAUGUUGCCCUUGCUUAUCUUUUUCUAAUCUAAAAAGCCCAAAAUAUUGUAAUCCUUCCUCAUAGGGAAUUCCUUCAACAUUUUGGUUGCCGUUUUCUGGAAAAUUGUGGUAGUUAGUCAAAACUGCAUACAAAAAUGUGUUUAUUAGGAAACUAGGAACUUUGCCCCUGCAGACCUCAUGAGCCAACCCCACCCUAUCAGGCACCCCCAUCCCCCACUUGCAAUAUCCCCCAGUGCCUCCAAGUGUUAGCACAUAUCGGCCACCAUGGGCCCGCUCACCUCACCUGUUCCUGCACCACUGUAGGCCCCUGCUGCCCCCCAUCAAGUCCUGCCAGCGUGCAGCAACACCUGAGCCACUUACCGGCCUCUCACCCAGAUGCUCAAGCUGCUGCCACCCCUCUUCCUCCCACCCAUCUUCCUUUCUUCCUCUCCAGCCUGAGCAGUGUGGCUCAGUCGCAGUUUGCAAUGCCACCUGUCUGUGGUCAAGCAAACUGCAGCAUGAUGGAUUAGCAGUUUAAAAAAACAUAGUAUAGAGAGAGAUAAAGAGAAAUUCAUAUUAAAAUGCUGACAAAUUUUCAUGAGGAUUUUUUUUUUAAAUCACAAAUUGCUACUGAAAUGUGGAGAACUGAAUUUAAGAUUUGAAAAAUUAGAAACUGAGAGUACCAAAAUUGAUAGAUCUUUCCAUUCCUAUUGGAAUGAUACAUCACCACCAGAUCAUAGUUCAGGAAACUGCCAUGCCGAAGUUUCCCUAGAUGAAACUGCUGGAAGGAAAGGUGGGAUAUAAAUAAAAUAAUAAAUAAAUAAAAUAAUAAAUAAAACUGGUGCAAAUAGGACACAGUCUCUCUGUGUGACCCACAAUAGUAGGGCAUAGCAGAAUUCAGUGUCUUUUCUUUCUUUUAAAGACUUUGAAAAAUAUGAUUAGUUAAAUUUUAGUUUCCUCCACUCCGACUUUUAAAAAUUUCCUCAAAUGUACAGGAAAUAAGGAGUCAAACAGUUUAAUAACAUAUGAUGUACAUAUUAAAAAUAUUAAAUAGUAAUAAUUCUAACAAUGUUAAUGUCAGUCUACAAAUCAUGUAAAGCCUGGUGGUAAGCAACUUUGCCUGAUGCUGAGGUUACAUUCUUCCUUGCCAUCAUAAUACUGCUGUGUAUUAUGUCCUUAUGUUUAUAAGUAUAGCCCCCUCUGCAAAUAUGCAAGCCAUGGCCCUAGGCUGACAGGGACAGCUCCACCAGUAGGCAAAGUGAGGGGAAUAUCUCAGGUGGAGGUUCUAAGGGAUCUGUAGCAGCCCCCCCCCCAUUCUGCUGAGGUAGCGAUUCCAUGGCUGUGAUACUUGCUUGUUGCUAUGAAUGUCAGAUAAUACCAACAAAAACAGAAAUGCAGAUGAAAUUGCUGAUGUUCACUUAUUCGUCCCAUGUCCGGAACAGAAAUCA